GACGAACGCUGGCGGUGUGCUUCACACAUGCAAGUCGAACGGAGUAGCAAUACUCAGUGGCGGACGGGUGAGUAACGCGUAGGAAUCUGCCUUAAGGUGGGGGAGUAACAGUCCGAAAGGAAUUGCUAAUACCGCAUAUGUGUACGAUACGACAGUUUUGUUACAUGAAAGAGUAAUCUGCCUAGAGAUGAGCCUGCGUCCGAUUAGCUAGUUGGUAGGGU
rnacentral:rRNA from 1 species